UACGUUCCCGGGCCUUGUACACACCGCCCGUCAAGCCAUGGAAGCUGGGAGUAUCUAAAGUCGGUUGCCGCAAGGCGCUGCCUAGGGUAAAACCGGUGACUGGGGCU
rnacentral:rRNA from 1 species